rnacentral:rRNA from 1 species
AGCGAACGCUGGCGGCAGGCUUAACACAAGCAAGUCGAACGGGCUUCUUCGGAAGUCAGUGGCAGACGGGUGAGUAACACGUGGGAACGUGCCCUUCGGUUCGGAAUAACUCAGGGAAACUUGAGCUAAUACCGGAUACGCCCUUAUGGGGAAAGGUUUACUGCCGAAGGAUCGGCCCGCGUCUGAUUAGCUUGUUGGUGGGGUAACGGCCUACCAAGGCGACGAUCAGUAGCUGGUCUGAGAGGAUGAUCAGCCACACUGGGACUGAGACACGGCCCAGACUCCUACGGGAGGCAGCAGUGGGGAAUAUUGGACAAUGGGCGCAAGCCUGAUCCAGCCAUGCCGCGUGAGUGAUGAAGGCCUUAGGGUUGUAAAGCUCUUUUGUCCGGGACGAUAAUGACGGUACCGGAAGAAUAAGCCCCGGCUAACUUCGUG